rnacentral:rRNA from 1 species
AGGAUAAACGCUGGCGGCGUGCAUGAGACAUGCAAGUCGAACGGACGAUCAGGGCUUGCUCUGAUCGUUAGUGGCGGACGGCUGAGUAACGCGUAGGUGACCUGCCCCGAAGUGGGGAAUAACUGCCCGAAAGGGUGGCUAAUACCGCAUGUGGUGGUGCGUUCAAUCGCACCAGUAAAGCCGCAAGGCGCUUCGGGAGGGGCCUGCGUCCGAUUAGCUCGUUGGUGGGGUAACGGCUCACCAAGGCGACGAUCGGUAGGUGGUCUGAGAGGACGAUCACCCAGACUGGGACUGAGACACGGCCCAGACUCCUACGGGAGGCAGCAGUCGGGAAUUUUUGCGCAAUGGGCGAAAGCCUGACGCAGCAACGCCGCGUGAGGGAUGAAGGCCUUCGGGUUGUAACCUCUUUUUCAGGGAAGAUAAUGACGGUACCUGAUGAAUAAGUCACGGCUAACUACGUGCCGAGCAGCCGC